ACGCUCGACACCUACGGGAGCAGCAGUCGGGAAUAUUGCGCAAUGGAGGAAACUCUGACGCAGUGACGCCGCGUGCAGGAAGAAGGUUUUCGGAUUGUAAACUGCUUUAGACAGGGAAGAAAAAGGCAGUACCUGUAGAAUAAGCUCCGGCUAACUACGUGCCAGCAGCCGCAGUAAUCUGAGCGGCUGGCAAGGC
rnacentral:rRNA from 1 species